rnacentral:rRNA from 1 species
GAUGAACGCUGGCGGCGUGCCUAAUACAUGCAAGUCGAGCGAACAGACGAGGAGCUUGCUCCUCUGACUUUAGCGGCGGACGGGUGAGUAACACGUGGAUAACCUACCUAUAAGACUGGGAUAACUUCGGGAAACCGGAGCUAAUACCGGAUAAUAUAUUGAACCGCAUGGUUCAAUAGUGAAAGACGGUUUUGCUGUCACUUAUAGAUGGAUCCGCGCCGCAUUAGCUAGUUGGUAAGGUAACGGCUUACCAAGGCAACGAUGCGUAGCCGACCUGAGAGGGGGAUCGGCCACACUGGAACUGAGACACGGUCCAGACUCCUACGGGAGGCAGCAGUAGGGAAUCUUCCGCAAUGGGCGAAAGCCUGACGGAGCAACGCCGCGUGAGUGAUGAAGGUCUUCGGAUCGUAAAACUCUGUUAUUAGGGAAGAACAAAUGUGUAAGUAACUAUGCACGUAUUGACGGUACCUAAUCAGAAAGCCACGGCUAACUACGUG